GACGAACUGUCCUAACGUUGUUCGGAAUCACUGGGCGUAAAGCGCACGUAGGCGGAUUGCUAAGUCAGGGGUGAAAUCCUGGAGCUCAACUCCAGAACUGCCUUUGAUACUGGCGAUCUCGAGUCCGGGAGAGGUGAGUGGAACUGCGAGUGUAGAGGUGAAAUUCGUAGAUAUUCGCAAGAACACCAGUGGCGAAGGCGGCUCACUGGCCCGGUACUGACGCUGAGGUGCGAAAGCGUGGGGAGCGAACAGG
rnacentral:rRNA from 1 species